CAGAAACAAGCUUAUGAAAAGAGAUUUGCAAGAAAUCUGACCCUUGGAAUACUGGGAAUCAUAUUUUGUUAGGUAUAGACUUGUAGAAGUUUUUGGGAAGAAAGCGGUGGCUACAAGGAUUAACAGUGGCUAUCCCUGUACUAGGUCUCCUUGUGGUUGUUGAAAAUACUGCAUACUUUAUUAACUGCAAUAUACAUAAAGCCUCCGUUUCAUGGCUCACCCAUCCAGUUUUCUCCAUAUUUUGUAGUGAGCCAUAGAAAGGAAAAUCAUCUCUGCUUUACUGUACUCCCUGAGAGUGGGAGGGAAAGGCAUCUCUUUGGUAAAGAAACAGGUACAGUUUGGCUGGAAUGGAUAGGUCAACAGAUUUACACAUCAUGAAGUCAUUGUAUGUACAGAAAACUGAUGAGGCAUCCUGAGCAAAAUAGAACAGCCUAUUCUCUCUCGUUUCAGAAUUGGGCUAGGGUAGCAAUUUACCUACCCACCUGUGGUUUAAAAUAGUUAUCUUCUAAUCCACUUCGUUGGUUCAAAGAGGCAGAAUCUGUUUCAUGUUGA